rnacentral:rRNA from 1 species
UGGGGAAUAUUGCACAAUGGGCGCAAGCCUGAUGCAGCCAUGCCGCGUGUAUGAAGAAGGCCUUCGGGUUGUAAAGUACUUUCAGCGGGGAGGAAGGCGAUAAGGUUAAUAACCUUGUCGAUUGACGUUACCCGCAGAAGAAGCACCGGCUAACUCCGUGCCAGCAGCCGCGGUAAUACGGAGGGUGCAAGCGUUAAUCGGAAUUACUGGGCGUAAAGCGCACGCAGGCGGUCUGUCAAGUCGGAUGUGAAAUCCCCGGGCUCAACCUGGGAACUGCAUUCGAAACUGGCAGGCUAGAGUCUUGUAGAGGGGGGUAGAAUUCCAGGUGUAGCGGUGAAAUGCGUAGAGAUCUGGAGUAAUACCGGUGGCGAAGGCGGCCCCCUGGACAAAGACUGACGCUCAGGUGCGAAAGCGUGGGGAGCAAACA